UGGGGAAUAUUGCACAAUGGGCGAAAGCCUGAUGCAGCAACGCCGCGUGAAGGAAGAAGGUUUCGGCUCGUAAACUUCUAUCAACAGGGACGAAAGAAAUGACGGUACCUGAAUAAGAAGCCCCGGCUAACUACGUGCC
rnacentral:rRNA from 1 species